rnacentral:rRNA from 1 species
GGGGGUUGGAGGGCCAAGUCUGGUGCCAGCAGCCGCGGGUAAUCCCAGCUCCAAUAGCGUAUAUAAAAGUUGUUGCAGUUAAAAAGCUCGUAGUUGAAUUUCGGGAUCAAAUUGUCGGCCGUGCCUCGGUACGUACUGGCGUUACUGGUUCCUACCUUCUGACGAACCGCUCAUGUCAUUAAUUUGG